UUGCCUCAGUAACGGCGAGUGAAGCGGCAAUAGCUCAAAUUUGAAAUCUGCUCUUUGAGCCGAAUUGUAAUUUGUAGAGGAUGCUUCGGCUUACGUUUCGGUCUAAGUUCCUUGGAACAGGACGUCAUAGAGGGUGAGAAUCCCGUCUGUGGCCGAGACUUCCGCCAUGUGAAGCUCCUUCGACGAGUCGAGUUGUUUGGGAAUGCAGCUCUAAAUGGGAGGUAUAUUUCUUCUAAAGCUAAAUACCGGCCAGAGACCGAUAGCGCACAAGUAGAGUGAUCGAAAGAUGAAAAGCACUUUGGAAAGAGAGUUAAAAAGUACGUGAAAUUGUUGAAAGGGAAGCGUUUGCGACCAGACUUGCCCGCGGAUGCUCAACCGGUCCUUCGGCCGGUGCACUCUUCCGCGGUCAGGCCAGCAUCAGUUCGAGUAGCCAGAUAAAGGCAUUGGGAAUGUGGCUCUCUUCGGGGAGUGUUAUAGCCCUUUGUGUAAUAUGGUUCAUUUGGACUGAGGCCCGCGCUUCGGCUAGGAUGCUGGCGUAAUGGUCGUAAGCGGCCCGUCUUGAAACACGGACCAAGGAGUCUAACAUCUAUGCGAGUGUUUGGGUGUCAAACCCGUGCGCGAAAUGAAAGUGAACGGAGGUGGGAACCUUUGGGUGCACCAUCGACCGAUCCUGAUGUCUUCGGAUGGAUUUGAGUAAGAGCAUAGCUGUUGGGACCCGAAAGAUGGUGAACUAUGCCUGAAUAGGGUGAAGCCAGAGGAAACUCUGGUGGAGGCUCGCAGCGGUUCUGACGUGCAAAUCGAUCGUCAAAUUUGGGUAUAGGGGCGAAAGACUAAUCGAACC
rnacentral:rRNA from 1 species